UAGCUAAGUACCAAAGGAGCGUCGCUAGUGGCAGCAGGAGUCCCAACGUCCAGGAUCACCCCCUCCCUAGUUAACGACUGCCAGAAACAGAAGCAGCAACAAAUCGUUGAGCUUCGACGUCCCCGCCUCCCCACUUUUCCAGCCGCCGGCGCGCCAGGUGAUUGGACAGCAGCCAGACUCUGCUGCACGGAACAACACAUUUAUCAAACCUAUGAAUCUUCCUGCUCCCCAGGAAAGCUUUUGAUGUGCUGAAGAGAGAACCAGAUACUUUCCAUUGUGGUUGGAUCCCGCAAAGCCCUUUCACGCAGCAAGCUCAGUCCUUCUGUGGUUAAAUGAAUUUACUGAGCUUGAGAAUGUAAAGACUGAUGGAGCUCUUUGCUGGCGCUAAAACAUCCGUUCCUGCCCACAGAUAAUUUUCCUGAUCUGGCAUUGUCCCUCCUUCCUUAUGCGAUAGAUGACACUGAAGACUUCUGAGUGGGAGAGAAAUGGAUGAUCAUUUACAAGAGCAGCUUGCUUUGAAAUUAUAGCUUUGCAAAUGACUAGAUCUUAUUUCACGUUCCAUUCUCUCCAGCACCCACAGAAGGUCAAUUUCCCCACCUCUUCUGAGGAUGGGUCCACAUGCUCUCCUUAAAAAGAUAAAGGGACCCCUGACCAUUAGGUCUAGUUGUGGCCAAUUCUGGGGUUGUGGCGCUCAUCUCGCUAUACUGGCUGAGGGAGCAGGUGUACAGCUUCCAGGUCAUGUGGCCAGCAUGACUAAGCCACUUCUGUCGAACCAGAACAGGGCAACGCGACUGGUUCUGCCACACUGAGCACCAAGCCUAGGGGACGCUGCAGGGUAUUGCAACUAUAAUAUAGUGAAUUGAGCAGAUUUCAUAUAUACAACCUGAGCAUACGAUAUUUGCAGGGAUAGCUGGUGCUUCUUUGGAACAGUGGGGCAGAAGAUAGGGAGCCAAGCAAUAGGUGGAGCCAGAGUCAUGGGUGGGCAGAGUUAACUGACUCUAUAGUUUUUCUACCCAUCCUCCUCUCUGCUGGAAGGAGCAGGAAGCUGACAGACAGCUCCAUCCCCUGGACUACAUUCACUGGACGGAGGGCAGAGGGUUGGGCUAGAUGACAUUUGGGGACCCUUCCAACACCACAUUUCUAUGACAUAUAUGAUUCUAUGACUGCUGACCUUUUCACCAACAUGACAUUCAGUGUGGGGGAGACCUCUGUGACAUUGUGAAAGGCCAGCGCCAAAAAGGUGUCGUUGCUGCUCCUCUCACCCGGAGUUCCUUCCAGGCUCAGGGGUGGCUAAGAGCGAGUGCCGAGAGCAAUCCCUGGGUGAUCUGCCUCUUAAUUACAGGGUUAAUGCAGGUGUCUCUAUCAGAAGAAGUUCCUUAACCUGAUAAUGAGCAGGAAGCAGCUGUACUUUGGAAAGUAGAAUAAUUGCAGAGCAGGGAUUUCUAAUUAUAAGGUGUGUGUGUGUCUGUGUGUGUGUGUGUGUGUGCUGCUGAGGAGUUUAUUUAGUGCCAGCUUGGAACUUCCUCCAAACAGCAGGCUCAGUUUCUUAAGAGUAGGAGGAGAGGGUGGUGUAGUGGCAGAGAAGAUGUCAGGGUAGAGCAGGUCAUUUUAGGGGGUGAAGCUUAAUUUUUGCUAAUUUCAGUGUGGGGUCUUAAAAAAUGUUUUUGAGUGUCAGGAGUUCAAAUCUGCUAUUAUUUUUGUGAUUAGACAGUAUUUAGCUUGGUAAAUCUAUGUUGGAUUAAAAAGCAUGUAAACUGUU